GAUUAAGAACGUAGCGAAAUGCGAUAAGUAAUGCGAAUUGCAGAAUUUCCGUGAGUCAUCGAAUCUUUGAACGCACAUUGCGCCCACUGGUAUUCCGGUGGGCAUGCCUGUUCGAGCGUCAUUAUCCUCCCUCAAACCCCGGGUUUGGUGUUGGACCCAAGUUGUGUGAACAACUGGUCUCAAAGACAAUGACGGCGUCCGUGGGACCCUCGGUGCAACGAGCUUUUAGGAGCACGCGCCGAGUUGCAAGGACCUUCCGGGCCGGUCUCCUUUACUAUUUUACAAGGUUGACCUCGGAUCAGGUAGGAAUACCCGCUGAACUUAAGCAUAUCAAUAAGCGGAGGA
rnacentral:misc_RNA from 1 species